CUGCAUCUACUGACAGACCUUAAGUAGUCUGCUGUUCUCUUGAUUUGCACCAAAGGAUGAGAAAGAAAAAUCCUUGUACUUUCUGUCUGGGUGGCAGCCCAGGUUGAAUAGGGGCUACAUCA
rnacentral:snoRNA from 1 species